rnacentral:tRNA from 1 species
GCCUGGCUGGCUCAGUCGGUAAGGCAUGCGACUCUUGAUCGCUGGAUUGUGAGUUUGAGCCCCAUGUUGGGUG